UCUUUGUGAUCAAAAUUGAAAGUCAUUAGCAAAGAAAAUAGAAAUAUAGUGGAAACCUUUUAUGGUCUUCUGGGUCCUUCUGGGUCUUCUUUUUGGAAAGCUCUCCCCUGAGAAAAGAUGGUUCUUUGAACUGCUCCUUGCGGAGCCAGAGGGCAUUACAGUGCUGAGGUGAGUUUGUGUGUGUGAGUGCAGCAAGGGUCACUGUUCAGUUCUUCAAGUGCAGUCUGACAGAAUUUGCUGAGCUUGUGUGUGUUCCAUUGCUGGGUCAGCUUGCAUAUUAUUCACUGUGUAUUUCAUGCUGCUCUACGCUCCUGUGACCCGGAUGAAUUUAGCAGGGCACUGAGCAGGAGGUUUCCUGUGUGUGCUUCUUACACUUCUGCCCAUCUUAACCCAGUUCUGUGCACUGUGAUGCAGUCUGUAAUUACAAAUCAAAUAAUAAGACCUGCCUUCUCAAAUGCUGUCUCAUUUUGUGACUUUUUUUCAGAAUUUUUUUUUGCUUACAUAUUUUAUUUAUUGUAUAUAGUUCAAAUUACUGCAGCAAAUAGGGAUUGCUAAUUGUAAUGGAUCUUCUUGGUGUUUUUCACUGUGGCAUCUAAAUACCUUUUAACCACUUUAAAUAUAUCUUCACAAUAUUGCAAAGAGUCUUUUCUUCUCAGUGCAUUGAUGCAAAGCAGGAAAAUUAAUGACAAAGCUAUCAAAACUUUCCACUGCAUCUAUCUAUUCCACAGUGACAAACAAACAAAAAAAUCAUCUUGUCCCAAUAAAAUAAUUAAAAAUAUCUUCUUCAGCCACCCACCAGGUUGCAGAUGAAUAUUCCAGGCAGGCUGUUGGUGUUGUUUUGUUCCUUGCGAUGCUGAACUGAAGGAGCCUCAGUUGGUCACCAUGCCUUAUGAAUGUUGGCUGUUAGUCCCUGGGUGAGCAGCCUCACGCUUUGCAGUCUUCUCAUUACUGCGUUCCACUCCUGCUGGUCCAGCCCUCAGAAUUCCCAUCUUGUUCUAAAACCUGGUCUGAUUUUCCUCCGUGUUUUUUCCCCUCCAGAUACUCGAUUUUCUUGAGUGAGGAGCUGCUAUGGGCGUUAUGGGCGGACCCUGCGGAGCGCUGAGCACAUGGCUAACUUCGAGGGAGUCAGUGCUUAAAAUCCCAAGCACUGCUGCCUAAAAUCGCACGUGCACUGAAGAACCCGGGGCCGACGGGCUGCGCAUCGUGUGGGUCCGAGCCCUGGGGAGCACACGGCGAACCGUGCGUCCGAAUUUUCUUUCUCUAUUUUAAACAUGACGCUUAAUGCAGAAGUCCUGACAGAUGUUUAAUUAAAAUGGUUAUUUCAAAAGCGAGGAACGCAAUGUGUAAAACUGACAUGCCGGGUUUCUUUCUGGCUCUCCCGGCAUCCGAGCUCCCUCCUCUACAGCCGUAGUGCAGCGCUUGCCGCUUUCGGUUCUGCUCCGUUCCUGUGCGAUCCUCUUCCAUCUUUUCCAGUUGCUUCAUUCUGUUUGGAAAAUGGCAAUGUAGAAUGUGUUUGGUGUAACCUUAAUCCUGACCAGCAUCUGGGCUCCGCUUGAAAAAAAAAAAAAAAAAAA